UACGAAGGGGGCUAGCGUUGCUCGGAAUCAUUGGGCGUAAAGAGCGUGUAGGCGGCCAGAAAAGUCCGCUGUGAAAACUCGAGGCUCAACUUCGAGCUGUCGGUGGAAACUUUGUGGCUAGAGUCCGGAAGAGGAGAAUGGAAUUCCUGGUGUAGCGGUGAAAUGCGCAGAUAUCAGGAAGAACACCCGUGGCGAAGGCGGUUCUCUGGGACGGUACUGACGCUGAGACGCGAAAGCGUGGGGAGCGAACAGG
rnacentral:rRNA from 1 species